rnacentral:rRNA from 1 species
GACGAACGCUGGCGGCGUGCUUAACACAUGCAAGUCGAACGAAGUGGCGAACGGGUGAGUAAUACGUGGGUACCCUGCCCUCCUUUUUGGGGUAAGCAUUGGCAACGGGGUCUAAUACCGCAUAAAGGGGGGUGGGCUCGCGGCCUAUCAGCUUGUUGGUGGGGUGAUGGCCUACCAAGGCGGUGACGGGUAGCCGGCCGGAGAGGGGGAGCGGAGAGAGUGGGGCUGAGUUGCGGCCGAGACUCCUACGGGAGGCAGCAGGGGGGGAGAAUGGAGGAUGGGCGAAAGCUGGAGGAAGCGACGCCGCGGGGGGGAUGAAGGCGUGAGGGUUGUAAACCUCUUGUGCUCCCGAACGGGUAGGUGGAGAAGAAGCGCCGGCUAACUACGUGCCAGCAGCCGCGGUAAUAC